rnacentral:lncRNA from 1 species
UCACGGAUAAGAUGAAGCUGGAGGAGCUGAAGAUCCCCAAGGACUAUGUGGUGCAGGUUAUAGUGAGCCAGCCUGUGCAAACCCCAACACCAGUGGAGAACUGAGCUGGACUUGCCUUCUUCCAAGAUCCCGUGGCUCCUUUUUAUUGUUACCAUUUCUUACUCUUAAGGCGUGAAAUUUAUUUUCACUGCUCUGAAUUCCCUAUGAAUGGAUUUAGUUCUGAGGAAUUACCAGUGAAAAAUUCCAUCUGUGAUGGAGACCAACAAAAAUAAUAAAACACACAGAGCCAGCCUCUGAUACUCUUAUAAUUACAAUUUCUAAUUUGAAAGACAGUUAAGAAAUAGAUAACCAUUUAUUUUAAAACAUUUAUCAACUGUGUAAUGGCUGUAUUUAAAUGAUCUCGAAUGUAAACAGACACCAGACCCAUCAAAAACAGCACCAAGCACCUUUUGGACACAGAAUUUUUAUGACAUACAUGUCAAAUUUUUUUUUUUCCAGAACCAUCAAUAACAGUUACAAAACCUAAUCUUUUUUUUCUUUUAAAGUGGAACCUAAAAGAGCAUAGAGUUUUGCUUCUCUUCUGGGUUUGUAGUCCUACCCACCAGGAGGCAGUGAGACUGGGAGUUGUCAGUGUUCCUUCCCCUCCCACCAAGUUCUGCUCCCUGUUGACAUGCACUCAGUCCUGUGGCCGUCAUGCUGGCAGCGGGCACCCUCUGGCGCCCUGAGCAGCACGUUAGUAAGUAGUUAGAGCUUGUAUUCUCAGUUGAGAAGUUUCUAGUCUUGCUUCAUAGUAAUCUUAACAUAUCUGUGGACCCAGGCUUGACAGCUAGCUACUAUGUGAUGUCUUUGCUGACCCUGAUGCUCUGCGUGACCAUUUCUGUAGCUUCCUGGCCCCGCCUAUAUAUUCCUGGGCCAGGCAAGACAGAAAUGGAGUAUAGCUGCUUCCAGUCCAGAAUGAAAAGCAAUCUUCUCCUUCCUGCCUGCAGGGAAUGUGAGUAAAACCCUCUCUGCCUGUUCCUGGGAAAACUGUGCCUAUUCUAAGCCUUGGAGAAAAUUCCAAUUCAAAAUGUUCGUGUGUGAUAGCUAACUAGUGUCAUUUAAACUGCAUUGGUGGGAACAGAUGGUAGCGCCUGGCUCAGACUGGAGUGCUUUCACUUAACUCUGACUCCAGUCACUGUGGUGGCAGGGUUCCUCCCACACCUUCCCAACAAAGGUGAAUUAACCUCCAUCUGCACACUGGGCUAAGGGACUGAACAUAGUAAAUCAGGCUCACCUUCUCUGGAGAAAGCUGCCAAGGGUUAUAUUUAAUCUGGAGCCUUUUAAAAGCUGUUUUUGCCAGGCAUGUUGUACCUGCCUUUAAUCCUGGGCCUUGAGAGGUAGAAAGAGGCAGAUCUCAGAAUUUGAGACCAGCCUGGAAUACACAGCUAGUUCUAGGCCAGCCAGAGCUACUUAGUGAGACUGUGUCUUAAAAAAAAAAGUUGGUUCCCUGAGAAGGGGACUAUCAUGUGACCACACUGUCUCUGAAAGUUUGUGAGAUGUGAACAGUAGAUGAAAGAAGGGUCUGUGCUUUUCUCAGUCAGGAAAUACCAAACCUCCUAUUCGGAUAUAAAAUGCCAUUCAUAAUUUUAGUGGCAGAAUGAAACCUCUAAGCAGUUUAAAAUGUAAUUUUUAAGUAUUAAAUUUCUUAUAGCCUGUUUAAAUAUAUCUAUAAUUAUAACUUACAUUUCUGAGAACUUUAACCAUUUCCCUAAUUCUGUUCAUCAUUUAGUUUGUGAUUGUAUCUAAUUUAGAUUUGGUGGUGACUGAUCUAAAUUCAGAAGUGCACACACAGCUUUAGCAACCAAGGAUGCCCACAUUUCCAUGUGGAGGCUCUAGGGUAUUCCAGUGCAUCUCCCUCCCACCAUCAAGAAGGUUGGUUCAUUUGUCAUAUUGAAUAACAGUAUCUCAAAGUCCGUCAGUUGGAAAAGUGGUUAAACCUAUUAUUUUUCUAAAGGAAAUUUGAUGGUGUCAUGAAUAACCUGAUUGUUAAAAGGUCUUGUUUCUUGAGGGUUUGUCCUAAGAGAUUUGUGGGGUCUUUUGGUUUUUGUUUGUUUGUUUGUUUGUUUAAAUUUUAAAGGAACAUAUACUUUGAAUAACAAUCCUCCAGGCAUGGUGAGAAAAAAACCUAGGUGCUGGAAAUUGUCAAUAGGUUAAUAACCUAGGUGAGAAAAAAACAUGGUGCUGGUAAUUGUCAAUAGGUCGAUGUAAGAUUGGAUCAAUACUUGAUGUGUAUCAUUUUAGUAUGUAGGGGUUUUGUGCUUUUU